AGUGAACGCUGGCGGCGUGCUUAACACAUGCAAGUCGAACGAGAACGGAUCUAGCUUGCUAGAUUGUCAGCUAAGUGGCGCACGGGUGAGUAAUGUAUAGAUAAUAUGCCUUCUACUAAGGAAUAACAAUUAGAAAUGAUUGCUAAUGCCUUAUAUGCCUUUUAAUCAUAAGAUUGUAAAGGGAAAGAUUUAUUGGUAGAAGAUUAGUCUGUAUAGUAUCAGUUAGUUGGUAAGGUAAUGGCUUACCAAGACAAUGACGCUUAACUGGUUUGAGAGGAUGAUCAGUCACACUGGAACUGAGACACGGUCCAGACUCCUACGGGAGGCAGCAGUGGGGAAUAUUGCACAAUGGACGAAAGUCUGAUGCAGCAACGCCGCGUGGAGGAUGACACAUUUCGGUGCGUAAACUCCUUUUAUAUAGGAAGAUAAUGACGGUACUAUAUGAAUAAGCACCGGCUAACUCCGUGCCAGCAGCCGCGGUAAUACGGAGGGUGCAAGCGUUACUCGGAAUCACUGGGCGUAAAGAGCGUGUAGGCGGAUUAAUAAGUCAGAAGUGAAAUCCUAUAGCUUAACUAUAGAACUGCUUUUGAAACUGUUUAUCUAGAAUGUGGGAGAGGUAGAUGGAAUUUCUGGUGUAGGGGUAAAAUCCGUAGAGAUCAGAAGGAAUACCGAUUGCGAAGGCGAUCUACUGGAACAAUAUUGACGCUGAGACGCGAAAGCGUGGGGAGCAAACAGG
rnacentral:rRNA from 1 species